GUUUACAGCCAUACCACCCUGAACAUGCUCAAUCUCAUCUGAUCUCAGAAGCUAAGCAGGGUCGGGCCUGGUUAGUACAUAGAUGGGAGACAAUGUGAGACCACAGCAAGUUUGAUCA
ensembl:rRNA 5S_rRNA 5S ribosomal RNA